rnacentral:rRNA from 1 species
AUUGAACGCUGGCGGCAGGCCUAACACAUGCAAGUCGAACGAGUGGCGGACGGGUGAGUAAUGUCUGGGAAACUGCCUGAUGGAGGGGGAUAACUACUGGAAACGGUAGCUAAUACCGCAUACCAUCAGAUGUGCCCAGAUGGGAUUAGCUUGUUGGUGGGGUAACGGCUCACCAAGGCGACGGUCCCUAGCUGGUCUGAGAGGAUGACCCGCCACACUGGAACUGAGCCACGGUCCAGACUCUGACGGGAGGCAGCAGUGGGUAAUAUUGCACAAUGGGAGCAAGCCUGAUUCCGCCAUGCCGCGUGUAUGAAGAAGGCCUUCGGGUUGUAAAGUACUUUCAGCGGGGAGGCGUUACCCACAGAAGAAGCACCGGCUAACUCCGUGCCAGCAGCCGCGGUAAUUC